rnacentral:rRNA from 1 species
AGAGCGAACGCUGGCGGCAGGCUUAACACAUGCAAGUCGAGCGGGCGUAGCAAUACGUCAGCGGCAGACGGGUGAGUAACGCGUGGGAACAUACCUUUUGGUUCGGAACAACCCAGGGAAACUUGGGCUAAUACCGGAUAAGCCCUUACGGGGAAAGAUUUAUCGCCAAAAGAUUGGCCCGCGUCUGAUUAGCUAGUUGGUGAGGUAACGGCUCACCAAGGCGACGAUCAGUAGCUGGUCUGAGAGGAUGAUCAGCCACAUUGGGACUGAGACACGGCCCAAACUCCUACGGGAGGCAGCAGUGGGGAAUAUUGGACAAUGGGCGCAAGCCUGAUCCAGCCAUGCCGCGUGAGUGAUGAAGGCCCUAGGGUUGUAAAGCUCUUUUGUGCGGGAAGAUAAUGACGGUACCGCAAGAAUAAGCCCCGGCUAACUUCGUGCCAGCAGCCGC